ACUGCAUAUUGUUUGCCCACUUGAACAAACAUUUGCUCUGACAAAGAUGAACUCAAUCAUGAUUUUCCAUUUUUAUUGACUUUUCUUUUUCCAGUGUCAUCCAUAACCAUUCACGUCUAUGUUAUUUGCAUAAUCUUUCAUUCAAG